rnacentral:rRNA from 1 species
AGAGUUUGAUCCUGGCUCAGGACGAACGCUGGCGGCGUGCCUAAUACAUGCAAGUAGAACGCUGAAGAGAGGAGCUUGCUCUUCUUGGAUGAGUUGCGAACGGGUGAGUAACGCGUAGGUAACCUGCCUUGUAGCGGGGGAUAACUAUUGGAAACGAUAGCUAAUACCGCAUAACAAUGGAUGACACAUGUCAUUUAUUUGAAAGGGGCAAUUGUUCCACUACAAGAUGGACCUGCGUUGUAUUAGCUAGUAGGUGAGGUAAUGGCUCACCUAGGCGACGAUACAUAGCCGACCUGAGAGGGUGAUCGGCCACACUGGGACUGAGACACGGCCCAGACUCCUACGGGAGGCAGCAGUAGGGAAUCUUCGGCAAUGGGGGCAACCCUGACCGAGCAACGCCGCGUGAGUGAAGAAGGUUUUCGGAUCGUAAAGCUCUGUUGUAAGUCAAGAACGGGUGUGAGAGUGGAAAGUUCACACUGUGACGGUAGCUUACCAGAAAGGGACGGCUAACUACGUGCCAGCAGCCGCGGUAAUACGUAGGUCCCGAGCGUUGUCCGGAUUUAUUGGGCGUAAAGCGAGCGCAGGCGGUUUGAUAAGUCUGAAGUUAAAGGCUGUGGCUCAACCAUAGUUCGCUUUGGAAACUGUCAAACUUGAGUGCAGAAGGGGAGAGUGGAAUUCCAUGUGUAGCGGUGAAAUGCGUAGAUAUAUGGAGGAACACCGGUGGCGAAAGCGGCUCUCUGGUCUGUAACUGACGCUGAGGCUCGAAAGCGUGGGGAGCGAACAGGAUUAGAUACCCUGGUAGUCCACGCUGUAAACGAUGAGUGCUAGGUGUUGGAUCCUUUCCGGGAUUCAGUGCCGCAGCUAACGCAUUAAGCACUCCGCCUGGGGAGUACGACCGCAAGGUUGAAACUCAAAGGAAUUGACGGGGGCCCGCACAAGCGGUGGAGCAUGUGGUUUAAUUCGAAGCAACGCGAAGAACCUUACCAGGUCUUGACAUCCCGAUGCUAUUUCUAGAGAUAGAAAGUUACUUCGGUACAUCGGUGACAGGUGGUGCAUGGUUGUCGUCAGCUCGUGUCGUGAGAUGUUGGGUUAAGUCCCGCAACGAGCGCAACCCCUAUUGUUAGUUGCCAUCAUUCAGUUGGGCACUCUAGCGAGACUGCCGGUAAUAAACCGGAGGAAGGUGGGGAUGACGUCAAAUCAUCAUGCCCCUUAUGACCUGGGCUACACACGUGCUACAAUGGUUGGUACAACGAGUUGCGAGUCGGUGACGGCGAGCUAAUCUCUUAAAGCCAAUCUCAGUUCGGAUUGUAGGCUGCAACUCGCCUACAUGAAGUCGGAAUCGCUAGUAAUCGCGGAUCAGCACGCCGCGGUGAAUACGUUCCCGGGCCUUGUACACACCGCCCGUCACACCACGAGAGUUUGUAACACCCGAAGUCGGUGAGGUAACCUUUUGGAGCCAGCCGCCUAAGGUGGGACAGAUGAUUGGGGUGAAGUCAUAACAAGGUA